rnacentral:rRNA from 1 species
UACAUAAGUAUGCAAGGGAAACGCUUUAGUGCUUAAGGAUGGUCUGUAUGGUAUCAGCUUGUUGGUGAGGUAAUGGCUCACCAAGGCUAUGACGCCUAACUGGUUUGAGAGGAUGAUCAGUCACACUGGAACUGAGACACGGUCCAGACUCCUACGGGAGGCAGCAGGUGGGGAAUAUUGCACAAUGGACGAAAGUCUGAUGCAGCAACGCCGCGUGGAGGAUGACACAUUUCGGUGCGUAAACUCCUUUUAUAUAGGAAGAUAAUGACGGUACUAUACGAAUAAGCACCGGCUAACUCCGUG